AUUGAACGCUGGCGGCAGGCCUAACACAUGCAAGUCGAGCGGAUGAAGGGAGCUUGCUCCUGGAUUCAGCGGCGGACGGGUGAGUAAUGCCUAGGAAUCUGCCUGGUAGUGGGGGAUAACGUCCGGAAACGGGCGCUAAUACCGCAUACGUCCUGAGGGAGAAAGUGGGGGAGCUUCGGACCUCACGCUAUAAGAUGAGCCUAGGUCGGAUUAGCUAGUUGGUGGGGUAAAGGCCUACCAAGGCGACGAUCCGUAACUGGUCUGAGAGGAUGAUCAGUCACACUGGAACUGAGACACGGUCCAUACUCCUACGGGAGGCAGCAGUGGGGAAUAUUGGACAAUGGGCGAAAGCCUGAUCCAGCCAUGCCGCGUGUGUGAAGAAGGUCUUCGGAUUGUAAAGCACUUUAAGUUGGGAGGAAGGGCAGUAAGUUAAUACCUUGCUGUUUUGACGUUACCAACAGAAUAAGCACCGGCUAACUUCGUG
rnacentral:rRNA from 1 species